rnacentral:lncRNA from 1 species
GGCUGAGGCCACGUGGAUGGCAGAGCACAAUGCAGGAGGGCUCCGUGUGCUGGGAGAGCCCGCAGUGCCUUUUGGGGUGCAGCUCACACACGCUUUCCUAUCCGAGCACAUAAAUCCGGGGGGAGAUGUUAUGCUGGUGGUAAGUGGAAGGGGUUGGGGCAGAAGGCAGCCGGAUCCAGGAGCUCUGAGCAACACGUGUGAGCCCGGGUGCUCCUCCUUCCCCAAACAAACGGGUUGAGCUCUGUUUGAGGUACACACACGAGCAGAUGUUGGCAAACCUCCCAUCUGUGACCCUACAGGAAGAGUCUGACGGAGCGCAGGGCUCGCCUUUGUUUUCCUCUUUCUUUGUUUCCCUGGCUGAAGGAGCCCAAGGUCCAUACCCAGCGGGCAGUCAGCACGGAGUACAGAGGGAACCCAAGAGCAGAGCAGGCUUUGCAGAAGGACUCCGUGCUCCAUCCCUGUAAGCUGUGCUCAGAUGACAUCUUGAGUGCCACCUCAAGGUCUGCUGUGCCAGGAAUCCCUGAACUUCAACUCCCAGCUUUCACCCCCCUUCCCCAUCUCCUGUACCUUGAGCAGUAAAUGCUAUUCAAGGGGUUGUGAAAUAAAAACGCUGUUCCCC